rnacentral:rRNA from 1 species
UGCGGCUGCUUAACACAUGCAAGUCGAGCGAUGAAGCUUCUUCGGNAGUGGAUUANCGGCGGACGGGUGAGUAACACGUGGGUAACCUGCCUCAUAGAGGGGAAUAGCCUUUCGAAAGGAAGAUUAAUACCGCAUAAGAUUGUANUACCGCAUGGUACAGCAAUUAAAGGAGUAAUCCGCUAUGAGAUGGACCCGCGUCGCAUUAGCUAGUUGGUGAGGUAACGGCUCACCAACGCGACGAUGCGUAGCCGACCUGAGAGGGUGAUCGGNCACAUUGGGACUGAGACACGGCCCAGACUCCUACGGGAGGCAGCAGUGGGGAAUAUUGCACAAUGGGGGAAACCCUGAUGCAGCAACGCCGCGUGAGUGAUGACGGCCUUCGGGUUGUAAAACUCUGUCUUUGGGGACGAUAAUGACGGUACCCAAGGAGGAAGCCACGGCUAACUACGUGCCAGCAGCCGCGGUAAUACGUAAGUGGCAAGCGUUGUCCGGAUUUACUGGGCGUAAAGGGA